UCCCAAGGCCUAAAUUCUCUAAAGGCAACAGAUUGUGUCUGAUCUUAGAAGCUAAGCUAGGUCAUCUCUGGUUAGCACUUGAAUGGUAGACUGCCAGUGAAUACUAGAUGUUUUAGUCU
rnacentral:rRNA from 11 species